AAUUUGAUUUUUAUUUGCUCUGACCUUUGUUUGAUCCUUCAAUAUUUGCAUCAUGUCCAGUUUCUGCUAAAUAACAGUACUUAGAAAUUCUAAGUUUUUUCCGAUUCUUCCAAAUAAAAGAAAGCCUCUCUCAUUCUAUCAUAGUAAACCCAUCAACUAAUUUUUUUUGAAACAACUGUCUUCAACGUAACAAAGUUCGCGCUUCAUUAUUUCUUGUCUGAAU
rnacentral:lncRNA from 1 species